rnacentral:rRNA from 1 species
UGCGUAGGCGGAAUAUUAAGUCAGUGGUGAAAUCCUGCGGCUCAACCGUAGAACUGCCAUUGAUACUGAUAUUCUUGAAUGUAGUUGAGGUAGGCGGAAUGCGUAAUGUAGCGGUGAAAUGCUUAGAUAUUACACAGAACACCGAUUGCGAAGGCAGCUUACUAAACUAUGAUUGACGCUGAGGCACGAAAGCGUGGGGAGCGAACAGGAUUAGAUACCCUGGUAGUCC